rnacentral:rRNA from 1 species
UACGGGGGGGUAAGCGUUGUUCGGAAUUACUGGGCGUAAAGGGCUCGUAGGCGGCCACUAAGUCGACGGUGAAAUCCCUCAGCUUAACUGGGGAACUGCGUCUGAUACUGGAUGGCUUGGAUGAGAGAGGAAUGCGGAAUCAGGUGUAGCGGUGGAAAUGACGUAGAGUAUCUGGAGGAACACCGGUGGCGAAGGCGGCAUUCUGGACCGAUAUUGACGCUGAGGAGCGAAAGCCAGGGGAGCAAGCGGGG